rnacentral:rRNA from 1 species
UCUAAUACCGGAUAGGACCACUUGGCGCAUGCCUUGUGGUGGAAAGCUUUUGCGGUGUGGGAUGGGCCCGCGGCCUAUCAGCUAGUUGGUGGGGUGAUGGCCUACCAAGGCGACGACGGGUAGCCGGCCUGAGAGGGUGUCCGGCCACACUGGGACUGAGAUACGGCCCAGACUCCUACGGGAGGCAGCAGUGGGGAAUAUUGCACAAUGGGCGCAAGCCUGAUGCAGCGACGCCGCGUGGGGGAUGACGGCCUUCGGGUUGUAAACCUCUUUCAGCAGGGACGAAGCGCAAGUGACGGUACCUGCAGAAGAAGCACCGGCCAACUACGUGCCAGCAGCCGCGGUAAUACGUAGGGUGCGAGCGUUGUCCGGAAUUACUGGGCGUAAAGAGCUCGUAGGUGGUUUGUCGCGUUGUUCGUGAAAACCGGGGGCUUAACCCUCGGCGUGCGGGCGAUACGGGCAGACUAGAGUACUGCAGGGGAGACUGGAAUUCCUGGUGUAGCGGUGGAAUGCGCAGAUAUCAGGAGGAACACCGGUGGCGAAGGCGGGUCUCUGGGCAGUAACUGACGCUGAGGAGCGAAAGCGUGGGGAGCGAACAGGAUUAGAUACCCUGGUAGUCCACGCCGUAAACGGUGGGUACUAGGUGUGGGUUUCCUUCCUUGGGAUCCGUGCCGUAGCUAACGCAUUAAGUACCCCGCCUGGGGAGUACGGCCGCAAGGCUAAAACUCAAAGGAAUUGACGGGGGCCCGCACAAGCGGCGGAGCAUGUGGAUUAAUUCGAUGCAACGCGAAGAACCUUACCUGGGUUUGACAUGCACAGGACGCGUCUAGAGAUAGGCGUUCCCUUGUGGCCUGUGUGCAGGUGGUGCAUGGCUGUCGUCAGCUCGUGUCGUGAGAUGUUGGGUUAAGUCCCGCAACGAGCGCAACCCUUGUCUCAUGUUGCCAGCGGGUAAUGCCGGGGACUCGUGAGAGACUGCCGGGGUCAACUCGGAGGAAGGUGGGGAUGACGUCAAGUCAUCAUGCCCCUUAUGUCCAGGGCUUCACACAUGCUACAAUGGCCGGUACAAAGGGCUGCGAUGCCGCAAGGUUAAGCGAAUCCUUUUAAAGCCGGUCUCAGUUCGGAUCGGGGUCUGCAACUCGACCCCGUGAAGUCGGAGUCGCUAGUAAUCGCAGAUCAGCAACGCUGCGGUGAAUACGUUCCCGGGCCUUGUACACACCGCCCGUCACGUCAUGAAAGUCGGUAACACCCGAAGCCAGUGGCCUAACC